UACGUAGGGUGCAAGCGUUGUCCGGAAUUAUUGGGCGUAAAGAGCUCGUAGGCGGUCUGUCGCGUCUGCUGUGAAAACUCAGGGCUUAACCCUGAGCUUGCAGUGGGUACGGGCAGACUAGAGUGCGGUAGGGGAGACUGGAAUUCCUGGUGUAGCGGUGGAAUGCGUAGAGAUCAUGAGGAAGACCAGUGGCGAAGGCGGGUCUCUGGACAGUUCCUGACACUGAGACACGAAGGCCAGGGGAGCAAACGGG
rnacentral:rRNA from 1 species